AUUGAACGCUGGCGGCAGGCUUAACACAUGCAAGUCGAGCGGAGUGAUGGUGCUUGCACUAUCACUUAGCGGCGGACGGGUGAGUAAUGCUUAGGAAUCUGCCUAUUAGUGGGGGACAACAUCUCGAAAGGGAUGCUAAUACCGCAUACGUCCUACGGGAGAAAGCAGGGGAUCGCUUGUGACCUUGCGCUAAUAGAUGAGCCUAAGUCGGAUUAGCUAGUUGGUGGGGUAAAGGCCUACCAAGGCGACGAUCUGUAGCGGGUCUGAGAGGAUGAUCCGCCACACUGGGACUGAGACACGGCCCAGACUCCUACGGGAGGCAGCAGUGGGGAAUAUUGGACAAUGGGGGGAACCCUGAUCCAGCCAUGCUGCGUGUGUGAAGAAGGCCUUAUGGUUGUAAAGCACUUUAAGCGAGGAGGAGGCUCUUUUGGUUAAUACCCAAGAUGAGUGGACGUUACUCGCAGAAUAAGCACCGGCUAACUCUGUGCCAGCCGCCGCAGUAA
rnacentral:rRNA from 1 species